rnacentral:rRNA from 1 species
ACGAACGCUGGCGGCGUGCUUAACACAUGCAAUCGAACGAGAAGCCCUUCGGGGUGGAUUAGUGGCACGGGUGAGUAAGCAAUCUGCCCUGCACUCUGGGACAAGCCCUGGAAACGGGGUCUAAUACCGGAUAUCACUCUUGCAGGCAUCUGUGAGGGUCGAAAGCUCCGGCGGUGCAGGAUGAGCCCGCGGCCUAUCAGCUUGUUGGUGAGGUAAUGGCUCACCAAGGCGGACGGGUAGCCGGCCUGAGAGGGCGACCGGCCACACUGGGACUGAGACCCCCAGACUCCUACGGGAGGCAGCAGUGGGGAAUAUUGCACAAUGGGCGAAAGCCUGAUGCAGCGACGCCGCGUGAGGGAUGACGGCCUUCGGGUUGUAAACCUCUUUCAGCAGGGAAGAAGCGAAAGUGACGGUACCUGCAGAAGAAGCGCCGGCUAACUACGUGCCAGCAGCCGCGGUAAUACGUAGGGCGCAAGCGUUGUCCGGAAUAUUGGGCGUAAAGAGCUCGUAGGCGGCUUGUCGUCGGGUGUGAAAGCCCGGGGCUUAACCCCGGGUCUGCAUUCGAUACGGGCUAGCUAGAGUGUGGUAGGGGAGAUCGGAAUUCCUGGUGUAGCGGUGAAAUGCGCAGAUAUCAGGAGGAACACCGGUGGCGAAGGCGGAUCUCUGGGCCAUUACUGACGCUGAGGAGCGAAAGCGUGGGGAGCGAACAGGAUUAGAUACCCUGGUAGUCCACGCCGUAAACGGUGGGAACUAGGUGUGCGACAUUCCACGUCGUCGGUGCCGCAGCUAACGCAUUAAGUUCCCCGCCUGGGGAGUACGGCCGCAAGGCUAAAACUCAAAGGAAUUGACGGGGGCCCGCACAAGCAGCGGAGCAUGGCUUAAUUCGACGCAACGCGAAGAACCUUACCAAGGCUUGACAUACACCGGAAACGGCCAGAGAUGGUCGCCCCCUUGUGGUCGGUGUACAGGUGGUGCAUGGCUGUCGUCAGCUCGUGUCGUGAGAUGUUGGGUUAAGUCCCGCAACGAGCGCAGUUCUGUGUUGCCAGCAUGUCCUUCGGGAUGAUGGGGACUCACAGGACCGCCGGGGUCAACUCGAGGAAGGUGGGGACGACGUCAAGUCAUCAUGCCCCUUAUGUCUUGGGCUGCACACGUGCUACAAUGGCCGGUACAAAGAGCAGCGAUACCGUGAGGUGGAGCGAAUCUCAAAAAGCCGGUCUCAGUUCGGAUUGGGGUGCAACUCGACCCCAUGAAGUCGGAGUUGCUAGUAAUCGCAGAUCAGCAUUGCUGCGGUGAAUACGUUCCCGGGCCUUGUACACACGAAAGUCGGUAACACCCAAGCCGGGCCCAACCCCUUGUGGGGAGCUGUCGAAGGUGGGACUGGCGAUUGGGACGAAGUCGUAAAGGUAGCCGUACCGGAA